GAUGAACGCUGGCGGCGUGCCUAAUACAUGCAAGUCGAGCGAACAGACGAGGAGCUUGCUCCUCUGACGUUAGCGGCGGACGGGUGAAUAACACGUGGAUAACCUACCUAUAAGACUGGGAUAACUUCGGGAAACCGGAGCUAAUACCGGAUAAUAUAUUGAACCGCAUGGUUCAAUAGUGAAAGACGGUUUUGCUGUCACUUAUAGAUGGAUCCGCGCCGCAUUAGCUAGUUGGUAAGGUAACGGCUUACCAAGGCAACGAUGCGUAGCCGACCUGAGAGGGUGAUCGGCCACACUGGAACUGAGACACGGUCCAGACUCCUACGGGAGGCAGCAGUAGGGAAUCUUCCGCAAUGGGCGAAAGCCUGACGGAGCAACGCCGCGUGAGUGAUGAAGGUCUUCGGAUCGUAAAACUCUGUUAUUAGGGAAGAACAAAUGUGUAAGUAACUAUGCACGUCUUGACGGUACCUAAUCAGAUAGCCACGGCUAACUACGUG
rnacentral:rRNA from 1 species